rnacentral:snoRNA from 1 species
CGCGCAAAGGAUGAGACUUUAUCAUUCAGUUAUCCCUGUCUGAACACAUUUGUUGAGAACUCUAUACUCUGAUCUCCCG